UACAGAGGUCCCGAGCGUUGUUCGGAUUCACUGGGCGUAAAGGGUGCGUAGGUGGUGAGGUAAGUCGGAUGUGAAAUCUCCGGGCUCAACCCGGAAAUGGCAUUGGAAACUACCUUGCUGGAGGAUUUGAGGGGGGAUUGGAAUACUUGGUGUAGCAGUGAAAUGCGUAGAUAUCAAGUGGAACACCAGUGGCGAAGGCGAAUCCCUGGAAAAUACCUGACACUGAGGCACGAGAGCUAGGGGAGCAAACGGG
rnacentral:rRNA from 1 species